AUAAUAGUAUUUGUAUUAGAAAAUAUUGUGUAAUAAGUAAUUAAAAAAAAUAAUGAAUAUAUAAAAUAAUGAAAAAUUAUACAUAGCCUCAACUCAUGUGAGACUACCCCCUGAAUUUAAGCAUAUCAAUAAGCGGAGGA
rnacentral:rRNA from 1 species